ACCCUCGCUGAAUAGACCACAACACUAUCGAACACGCAUUUUUGUGGCCCUGGAUGUGAAUGCUCUCGCUGCUAGAGCAUCUCAUACUGUACACGUGAUUACUGUCAUGCGCGCAACGCAAAUGACGGAUGUCAGACAGUUUGUCCGAGUGGGCUUGCCGUAGUUUGCCGAGUCGACGUGCGCGUGUGUGAUUGUCAAACGCCAAUCUGUUGGCGACACUAAUUAUGAAAACGCCUUUUAUUUGACAAAGCUCGCUCAAAGAAAGAGAAUGUGAGGAGUACCGAAAGUUUGAACAAGAAUGGACGGCGCUUUGUGGAGAGAGGCGGUUCUGCCGUGUGUCUAAAUUCACAGGUGGGGAGUGUGCCAAGGGAUUCGUACUCGACGUUGCCAGUAAACAUUUCGACAACUUCACGUGAAGAUAAGUUAUUCAAGCGAAUAAAAGACACGCCUUCGUCGGCAAGAACUGGUCACCGUCCGACCAGCAUGAUGGAAAAUCAAAUGGAAUGACACUCACGAUGAAUGGAUGGAAGUUUCAACACCUGCACGGAGUUUAAUAAACGGCAGGAAAACCGGACAGCACCAGAAGUCGCAUAAAUGAAUGUUCCGGCGGAUGUUUCCUUCCCAAAGGAAUACAAACCUGGAAAUACGACCUGCAGGACGGCACUUUGGCUUUAAAUGCUCAGGUUACAUCGGAUGACUGCACCAGGAACUCAAGGGAAAUAAAGGAGGGAUGGACUUUGUCUUUUAUUAUAUCGCCGUACGGCGGUUUCGGCACCAUCACUCUCAUCUCUUCCGCCCUCACACGAGCUGGGCAGUAAAAACGGGAGCAGGCUCAUGGGAGGCCAUUAAAGACCAGAAACGUAGCUUGAGAGCUCUGCUUGCAGAGCUAACGAUCGCAGGCGCACGGUUCACCACUGAGCAACAAACGCCAACUCUGUAACCUUCCCAUCGACAAGCCAAACAACAGUGUAUCAAACGGAUGUGGGCCUGCUGAGAUUUGGGGACGCACUCAAGGAACGUCGAAUUGGUCUGCACGCCGAAGAGAACUCGCUCCUCCACUCGUCCGACGCCGAAGCCUGAAAGAAAAAACCACCCAGAGGAACGCCGUAGCCGCCGCAGCUCACGUUCACUCUUUUUCUCUCAGGCGACGAAAGACGACCUCGGCAAAAUAUUUGCAGUUCAGAAGCGGGUACCAGGGGUCAAAGGUUUCCAGCAUUCUGAUAAAUCAUAUUUACAUACCAACGGACACCACGUCUACAGCCCGACCAUAGCACGUCUAUAGAAGAGGACGGGACGCGGCGGGACUACGCGUUUCGGCGCGUCGGCGCUCGGCAUACGUUAAACGGAUCUCCGUAGAUUGCGGCCCGCAUCCUGUUGCGCUGGCCUCGGCGCUUAAGUGCGCUCGCUGGAGCAGAAAGAGCACGGGUGGAAAAAAAGAGAAGGGGAAACCGCCAAGAUGGACUUCAUGAUAAAUGGAGGCAAGAUGGACUCUACGAUAAACUCACCACUGCU